rnacentral:rRNA from 1 species
CGGCGGACGGGUGAGUAACACGUGGGUAACCUACCUAUAAGACUGGGACAACUUCGGGAAACCGGAGCUAAUACCGGAUAAGAUAUCGAACCGCAUGGUUCGAUAGUGAAAGAUGGUUCUGCUAUCACUUAUAGAUGGACCCGCGCCGUAUUAGCUAGUUGGUGAGGUAACGGCUCACCAAGGCAACGAUACGUAGCCGACCUGAGAGGGUGAUCGGCCACACUGGAACUGAGACACGGUCCAGACUCCUACGGGAGGCAGCAGGG